rnacentral:ncRNA from 1 species
AACCCAUCCAGAGCGGUCGAGAGUCCUGGCUCGUCGACACCGCAGCAACCUGCCCGACGGAAGCCUCCCGAGGGGUACAGGUGCUAACGCCAGGUCCGAUGGAGA